UUCUUAGUCUGGUGACACAUCUUCUUGUUUGAUUCUGGGGAUGGAAACAGUCGAUAGAUUGAUGAAGGCCAAAUGACCUUGCAGAAGUGGAAUUGCUGUGUCGUGGGAUCCCGGUGUGUGAAACUUUACCAGGAGCUGUCAGAAUCUCCAAAGUGCUGUGCCAUUUUCCGCCUCCGUCAGUGGUUUCUUCCUGGGUGUUCCGUAUCCUUGCCAGUGUCGAGCCAGUCGUGAGACAGAAAGGGAGGAACACUGGGACACGGCAGACGAGGGAGGGGUGUGGAUGGGAGGUCCCUGAAGAGCUUGGGGGGGCGGCAGAGGGGAGUGGGAGGCCCCUGGGGUGCAGGCGGGGUCGUGCACGAGGGGGGACUGAAUGUGGGAGAUCGCGCGGGACACCUGGGCUGCCUGGGAGUGCUCGCGGGCGGGCAGAGAAGGUCACCCCUUGCUGUUCCAAAGGCAGCUGCCAACACCAUGCCUCCCAUGUGCUCCCUACGGACCUGGACCCCGUCUGGGCAGGCUUCUCGCGAUCAGGGUUGCCCCCAUUCUGCAGAUGAGGAAACCAAGUCUCGGGCCCUAACAGUGCGGAGUGGGGAGCCGGCCCUGCAGCCAGGCCCGCUGGUUUAAGGCUGUGAUGACCUUGCUGGGUUAGGCUGCGUCGACAGGAACAGGCUGCAUCGACAGGCACGUGAGCCCGCCGGCGUGUGGGAGAAAGGCGCACGCGGGAGCGCAGCCCAGACAACAAAAGCGGAGCGAAGGGAAAUCAGUCUCUGUCCUCUCUGGCUCUCCAGCGACCUCCUCCGAAACAACAGGAGGUAACACUUCCCCGGGUAUCCUUGCGGGGAUGUUGGACUCCUGCAGACGCCGCACGUAUUUACGGGUAAUGACCUUCUUUUCACUUUCUAUGCAAAGAGCCGAGUCUCGCACGUGGUUUCCGUGUUUCGCUUUCCUCCUGUAGCUGGUGUUGGGGAGACAGUGCCACGUCUGAGCAGAGAGGACGGACCCACCGCUGGACGGCUCGCAGCUGCAUGGGGGUGAGCUGCCCAUCCGGACUCCGGGAUCUCCUCAGCACUUCGGCGGGUGCGGGACAAGGUCUGUGGGAUGGAGUCCUAGAAAGGGAGUUGCCGGACCACAAGGUGGGUCCAUGUUGAAUCUGCACGCACACUGCCAGCGGCUCUUGAGAAGUCGCGGCCUCUGAGGGUGCCAGGCAGAGCGGGAUGUUGUCAAAGUCGGUGACCAGACCUGACGGAUGCCUCGUUUGCUUCGUUCAGACCACGAGUGAGGCUGGACAACUUUUCAUACACUUUCAACACCAACGGUCACAUUCUUCCCUGUGACCUCGCUGGUACGGUCCUUCGAAGGGCGCAGCUGUGGCU
rnacentral:lncRNA from 1 species